CGUAUGCAACCUGCCUCAAACAGGGGGAUAAGCGGCGGAAACGCCGUCUAAUACCGCGUACGACUCCGGAGGGCAUCCUCUGGGGUUGAAAGAAUUUUUGGUUUGAGAUGGGCAUGCGGCGCAUUAGCUAGUUGGCGGGGUAACGGCCCACCAAGGCGACGAUGCGUAGGGGUUCUGAGAGGAAGGUCCCCCACACUGGUACUGAGACACGGACCAGACUCCUACGGGAGGCAGCAGUGAGGAAUAUUGGUCAAUGGGCGCGAGCCUGAACCAGCCAAGUCGCGUGAGGGAAGACGGCCCUAAGGGUUGUAAACCUCUUUUGUCGGGGAGCAAAGAUGGCUCGAGAGCCAUUUUGAGAGUACCCGAAGAAAAAGCAUCGGCUAACUCCGUG
rnacentral:rRNA from 1 species